AACUCCUUGAUGUGCCUUUGAAUAUCUCAUUUGCUAUAUUAAAAAAAAAUGCCAUAUCAAAUUGUUGACAUUUUCUAUUUGCUUUUGCUCAUCAGCAUCUAUCUCUUGACUAGAGUUUGUCUUAUGAGAACCAAAUCUUUUACUUUUUGACUUUAGAGAGGCAAUUAGUAAUAUUCAAAGCAGCUGGAGAAUAAGCAUAAUAAAUACAGAAUAAUUAAAGAUUUUGUGGUGGGUAUUUACACAUGCUUUAAAUUACGGUAGUCAGCAAAAAAAAAGGAAAAGUAAAGGAAACUACUUUCAAACCAGUUUACAGAUUAAAAUUAGUGGAAAGCUAUGAACACAAUUCUGUAGAAACAAAGGAGGUAAGUCAGGGCAGGGACUUGGAUAUGAGCAAACAAGAUACAACAUUGAUAUUUUUCUAAAAACAAGGGGAAUUAGUAGCAAGCCAGGGGGUGUAAGGUUGUACACCUUCAACAGUACACCCCUUUGCUCAGUCCGGUUCUGGGAUUCAUACGCCAAGAUGAAACUAACAGCUCAAGUAGAAAAAUUGCAAGAAGCAGUAUAAAAAGAAAUGUUGAUCUUUCAGUAUCUGCAACUCUGAAUUUAUUUUUAGCUUUUUUUUUUUUUUUCCUUUUAUGUGGCAUUGCAACACAUUAUUGGUGGGAGGGUGUCCUUUCUGUCCAUCUAACAGAGCAUAUGCCACGAAUGUUCCUGUUUUGGAGAGAACAAUGGAAAGCGAAUUUCUUUGUACAAGAUGUAUUUUGUCAGUGGUGUGGGCUUUACAUUACGUUGUUGAGCUUUUGUCAGUAUUAUUUGAGAAGCGUGUAGCUAGUUUAGGAGACAUUGCUGAAAGAGAGGAAACCUAAAUUGCAUUAACAAAUCCAACAAAUUCUAAUAAGAGCUUUUAAGGAAGUCCUAACUAAAGUAAUGCUUUUAGUCUAAUAAUUAUUCUGAGAAUUUAGAACCCAGAAUCAUGGAAUCAUAGAACAGCCCAGGCUGGAAAAGGGUACCUUUCCUGGGAAAGGGUCCCUGGAUGAAAUUAUCUAACACCCCAUCCCGUCAUGCCUUGAAAACCUCCAGUAAUGUGGAUUCUACCACAUCCCCAAGGAGGUUGUUCCAGUAAUUGAUUGUUCUCCCUGUUAAGAUUUCUGUCUAUAUCAGGACCUGUUGCCCCUUGUCAUCUCCAUGUGGCUCCUUGUGAAGAGAGAGCCUCUGUCCUCUAUGCAGCUGUCCUCUAAGCACUGGAAAACUUACAUGAUGGAUUCAUCAUAGCUCUAAAAUAGUUUAAUAAUGACAUUCUAUACGUUAGUCAGUUUGGAUAUUUAUGAACUUACCAACUAAAUUUACAGAAACUCUGUUAGAAGAGACAGAUGGAAAGGAAAAUGAAUGGCUCAGUAUAGGCCAUUUGUCAACAAAUGCACAAAAGUCACUGAGCCAAUAAAACUUGUGGCAAAAUCCCUAAGACAUAAGCAAUAGGAGAAGAAUGACAUUUUAAAAAAGAACCUUUGCAAGAGGGAUUUUUGUUUUUGAAAAUUAGGCAUAAAAUCUGGCUGAGAAUUCUGACGUUGCCUACCUAAUUUAGUGGCAGGAGGUAAUAGAGGCAGCAUAAUAGAGACAUAAAGGCAGAAUGCUGUUUCUAAAUGUUUUGUUUCAAGUUUAAACUGAAAAGUACUCUGUUCUUAAGCAGCUUAUGAGAUCACUGAAGGGAAGAACAGACAGAGCUUGGAUUUAGUUGGAUUUGCCAGGUAAACUGGUUGAUAAGCCAUACCGUAGGCUGGGACCUGUUCUAAAAGUGGAGAACUGUCAGAAUUUAUCCAGUGACAUAUAACAGCAAGAAAUCAGAUAAUUAAGGGUAGUGCUCUGAGAGAAUGCAGAAAGGGGUUAAAGGUGCCAUUUGCCCUGUUGCUGUGACAGUUCGAAUUUAAUCUUUUUGUGUCUGAUGAAAAAUAAUGCUAGGUAAUAUAUGCACAAAAGAAAAAUCUGCUUAAAGCUUUCCGCUUAUGUGUUUUUCUAGAAACUCAUGAUAAUGUCGAGCAUUACUGUAACAUCUUUUAGCAUGCCAUAGUCUUUCCGUUGUAGUUGUUGCUACUGCAGCAUAAAAAUAAUCUUGACGUUUUAGCAACAUGGGUAUGGUUUCUAGCACUCUAUAGGCAGGAAUAUUUCUUGGUUAAUUGGUUUUUAUUUUUAAAAAUGAAAUGAAAUGAUCUCUUGUCUGUGAUCAGUGGCAAUUAAAAAAGAGAGAAGACUGAAACUUCAUAUGGAACAUUUCAUCUCUGUCUAUGUAUUAUGCCACAGUUGCUUCAGUGCUACGAUUUAUUAGAUUUUUUUUUAGUUAAAAUAGGCAAGUUACAGAAAAAUAUCACCUACCCAAGGCAUAAUUUUCAGUUUGUACUGUCUGAAGGGAUUACAGGAAACAAAUUGUACAUUUUGUUUCAUCUUAAAUUCAAAUUAUUUUAUAUCCCUACAAUUUUGUUUUUCAGUGGUAUGAAAUGCGAUGAAGAUUGUAGAGGUAGCUUCUGGUAGCAUUUGAAUUUGACAGCUGAAGGGUGGAUAAUUGGAACUUUUGUCACCUUGCAUUGAUUUUGGAGCAAGCCUAGUAUUUUGACUCAAGCACACGAAGCGAAUAUUCAGUUGAAAUAACUUGCAGAGGAAUAAUUAACAAUUCUGACAUUUAAGAUGUCAUUCCAGGGUUUCAGAGUUAGCAACUGAGGAGAUGACAUGGGAGCUCACAUUACUCGCUUGCGUAAGAAUGCACUCAGAUAGAGUGCAAUACUUUAUUGGUUAUAUUAAGACGGUAUUUUCAGAUUAUGCUUGGAUGAUCAUGCACUCUAACCUGGUUUAUUUCUUUUACUAUUGACUCAUGCAUUUAGUUUUCUAAUGACUUGAAUGUUUCUAUUUUUAGAAUUAGUUCUGGGGUACAACUGUAGAGCAAUUAAAGCAUAUUGCUAUGUUGCCCUCUACAGAAUCCCAUGAUGAAUGAUUUGGUUUGUCUGUCAAAGUUAAGUCCUCUUUUGACGUGACUGAAAAGGGGUUUUUGGUCAGUCGGCUUAGGGAGACUCGGUGGCAGGCAGAUAUGGUAAUAGCUCUGUCACUCUCUUGCUUGUCUCUAGAAACAGAAAACAGUGCUUUUUAACAAUCCAACAUCUAAAGCGAACCUUUUGACCUGGAAAGUCAUUAUUUUUAUAGCAGAAAUAACAGCGCAACAUUUGCUUUUCUCCUUUGCCUUUUGCAGGCUCCUGAUUGUCUACAUGCUCAGGGCUGUGUUUGGGCUGAGCAAAUACAGUACCUACUUGUAUAUCAAGUUCUGCUUAACCGUUGACAGUUAAUGCUGAUGAAACUUCAGUUAAUAUGAGUGCUCCUCGCAGGGCUGACUGCGUUCAGAUAUAACUUCAGCACCUGCAGUGGAAAUUUUGCGUCAGCUUGCUGGAAAAAGCAAGUGCAAGCAAGGCUUUCAGCUAACAAAUAAGCUACAUUUUCUAAAAGCUGAAAAUGAGGGUUAGAGUGCUCUGCCACUCUUCAGCAGAAAAGCCAGACAUCUUCAAAGCAUGGAGCCUUAACCUUGACCUUCCCUCACGACCUGGACGCCACCAUCUCAUUAAGACCACAUUGCAACUACAUCUCAGAUAUCACUAAAUAAUAUAUUGUGAGCAUUAUACUGUUAUCCAAAAGAAUAACUGGUUAGAUAUGAGCCACAUUCCAUUUAUUCUUUUGCUGAGACUAGCUGAUCAAAGUAGAGGGAAAAAAAGUAUAGGAUUCAUGGAGAGACACACAAACACACGUGUACAGACACACAAAGAAGUGCACGCUAAAUCUUACACCUGUACACCUGGGCUAUUGGCCACAGCAAAAUAUAGCUGGAGAGGCAUGACUCCCAAAGGAUCCAAUCUUCCAACUCUGUAAGUGCAGCAAAACAAAUUCUACACCUGAUUCUGGCUUCUGCCCUUGGAUAGCUUAAGGGUUGCUUGGCCAAGCAACAAGCUGGACGCUUGUGGGAUGUUAGGCGGAAUUCUCCUUGAAGCAGCUGCUCUCGCCAACCAGAUGCUCAGUUUUUCCUGACUGGAACAUUCAAACCUGCCUUCUGCCUUUUGCAUGUUCCAGCCCAGCCUUGGCCAGGUCUCCAGACAAAGCAACAAGGAUACAAACAGCAAAGACAGUGUAUAUCCAGGGAACAGAUUUCUUAUACCACUAGUAUCAAAGGCUGACUUUACUUAAGCAUUGGCAUUUUUUUUUCCUCCUGAAUGGCAAGGAUUUGAGCCAGUUGUUCAAUAGCAUGAGAAGGAGCAUCACUGUUGAAUUUCAAGAACUUCAGCCUCUGGUCAGUUGCCUUUUCCAUUGCCCUUUGUAGGAAACAGCAAUUAGAUCUGUUGUUCGCUCAUGUGCACACUUUGUAAGCUGAUAACAUUGCUGAAAAGAGGUGACAAGAAAGCAGGAAAGAACUCAGCCCUGUUUUUAUUCUCUCUGGCCUUUGAGGAAAGAGAUUUAUUUUCUGCUUCCUCCUCCCUAUAUGAAACACAAGACUUGAGAAAGAAGAUGGACCUGUAUCAGCCUCCACAGACAUCAGAGGGUCCUUAGUGCAUAGAGGUACACUGCCUCUGGAGCACGAGGGGGUAAUGGAUCAGCUGAAACAGAGGACUGAGCGCUUACAAAAAGGAAAAUCAACCCUCAUUUCAAACUUUUGUAACAGACAAACGAUAUUCAGGAAGUAAAGAAGAAGAAUACAGUCAAACUGUGUACAAUUUUUCAAUUAUAUCAACUUUAUAAAAUAUGUAUUGCAUACAGCGCAUGAAGAUGUUCUACAUAAGUGCUUAAGAAAGUGUUGGUAUGUACCUGUUGAGUGUUUGGCAAACUUGGUAUUGGUUGCUUUGAAUGAUAUGGACCACGUCAAGAUGUCAUUGUUUCCAGAAUAACAUUCUUCAUCAGAGAAAAGUGGCUGCUUGUUCAAGCCACUGUGAGUAGAAGAAUUCAACAUCAAUGAGACCGAAGGAAAUCAAAACCAGGAGCUGGGUUCUGCAGACCUGUGAGAAAAGACUGCUCUGAGGAGAAAAGUCUUGUAUCCUGAUCCUUGCUGCUUGUCUUAAUACAUUUUAACAAAUUUCACUUAAAUAUAAAAAUACUUCCUAAAACCUUAUCAUUGGAUUACAGAGCUUGGAAUAUAAAUAUUCUUUAAAUAUAAAGAAGUGACAGUCCAGUGGUACAGUGCAAUCUAAACAGGUGGAAUAGACAAAGAUGUGAAAGAAAAUGAUAAUUAAUUAGUAUGACAGUUACAUGGAGCCUGUUGAUUUUAGCUCCUGUUUUAUCCACCUUUGAAUAAACUUUUCUAAAGAGGAACUCUGGAUUUCUUCAUUUUACUUGGGGAACGUGGCAAAAUUAUAGGUAAAUGUGUUUGAACGUGUGGGGAAUAUUUCUUCUUUAUAAGUCAUUAGUCUGUCUAGUCUAUAUUGCCACCCAGCUGUGAUCAGAGAAACUAAGGCAGUACAGAGGGCUUGAA